AAGAAGAAAAGAAAAAGUAAGCCCACCCCGUGAACCCUACCUCCCGCAAAUCAUCCCGACCUCGGGUCCCUCCCGUGCGCCGCCCUCGCUUCCGCCACGAACCGGCCUCCUUCCAGCGCGCCUCCGCCCAGCCUCUCCCCGAGCGCGUUGCCGCCCGGCCUCCUCCCCGAGCGCGCCGCCGCCCGGCCUCCUCCCCACCGCGCUGCCGCCGGGCCUCCUCCCCACCGCGCUGCCGCCGGGCCUCCUCCAAGCGCGCCUACAGCCGGCCUCUCCCCCACCGCGCCGCCGCCAGGCCUUCUCCCAACCACGCCGCGCUGGCCGGCCUUCUCCCCGAGCGCGCCGCCUCCCGGCCUUCUCCCCAUCGCCAGACAUAUCAAGUUCUUUGUUUGAGUUCAGUAGGGCAUCAACCUGAUGGCAGGACCACAACAUUAUCCGUACGAGGUUCGCCUGCAGUUCUAGAUUAGGGAGGCUCGUUCUCUCUGCCUAACGAAGUUGUGCGUGUACUAACCAGAAGUCUACCCCAGUUGAGCAAAAAAAUAUUUCGUUAGCAGUUCAUACCAAAAAAGGUUCAGACGUCUCAAGCCGCUAAGGCCUACAUCUCCCUGCCAAUGGUUGACAGCCGGUGCCAACAUGGCUGUGGUGAGUUCGUUGGCCUAGUCCCUAUGCUCCGAUGAGGUCAAGCCCAUUGUCAUAUUUGUCGCCGCAACUUCAGAUUGCUGCCGCCAAGGGACGGUGGCAUGAAGCAGUUGAGUAGGUGUGCGUGGUGAGCAGCUACUGAACUUCUUCAGACACUACAAAAUAUAGUCCCACACAGCCUCUCAACACCACUUCUUGAACCUGCUUGAACCUUCAUGGCCCAGGCCGUUUACUGCCUCCACACAAGGCCGUUCGAUGAUGCAACGCUCAAGCUGAUCACCCUUGCCAGCACCCUAGACUCCCAUGAAAUAUCUAGUCAAAAAAAUGGUUGAUCGUAAGUGCAAGUACACUACACACGCUGAGCUGCAACGGGACACGGUGACAUCACUUCUUUUGGGUUGUUUUCUGUAUGAAUCUGCAUUUUUGUUAUUAAAUUCAGUACAACGAAACACAUGAAUCCCCAGCGGGUACCAAAUUAUUGAUUCCUUAAAACAAUUAAUAGAUUUCACCAUUGGUUGGUCUACUUGUGUAAAUCUGUCAGUUCAUGACAAGUAACUUCUGAUGCUAGAAAUGCAGGAUGUUUGUGUGAAUCUUGCUUGUUUCAGAGAGAAAAAGAGUUGGUACUUGCAUCACAUGGUGUACUGAACAAACAUACGCAUUCAGAUAAACAUGCUAACAACUCCUCUUGCUAUACUCAUGCUUGUACUUGUUUAUUUUUCUUGUUUGGGAAAUGGUUUCCUAUCCUCCUAACAGCUUUUCUCAAAUUUCAUUUAAUUUAGUUUCAAAUCAAACCAGAGCUAAUGCAUAAAUGUCAUUGGGUGAGGUUGCUAGGAAGAUUUGCAUUAGAGAAUGCUUUGUUGGAAAAGCUUCUAUUGGUAUUAUUAACAACAAAACUCUCGGUGGACAUAGACCGUAAAUCUUGAGACUAUUUUCACCAUUUUUUGCCCUUUGGUGUUUGGAAAUUCUAAAUUUUGUUGAUUUCAACUUGAUGAAUAUAAAGAUAUAUGCCAUGAGUUUUAGAUUAUAUCUCUGCUGUUGUAAUUUCUUGUUGGUGUUUAUUAGUAGAUAUACAUGUAUGAGUUCACUCCUGACUAUUGUAAUAAAGUUUUUUAGGAUUUGGAAGUAUCUAGUCUGGAUUGGCAGUGUAAAAACCAUAUAUAAAAUGUCUUGAUGCAUGCUAGCAGAAAUAUGAAAAUAAACUCAGCACAGUUCCUAUAUUUUAUUCAAGUUCAAAGCUAAACAUUUCUAACAGCUUAUCGCUCCUUGUAGGAUACACACUAUUCAUCGCAUUUGUCAUCGAGCGAUUGCACCACUAUCUUCAGAAGCUCAUCACCCUGAGGAAAUCAGCCAACACCUCCCAGAGAGGAGCUUGAAAUUUUCCAAAUGGAGUUCAAACGUGAAUUUGAGAAAAUGAUUCCUCGGCUAAGUUCGAAAAAUGUCAUUCUGUGAAGUUCGGCUAUUCAGCCAUGGACUAGUCAAUGGUGGAGUUGCAAUUUUGUUUCUUCUGUACAUACAUGAAUUGAAUGUAAUCAACGGAAAGAAACAUAUGUUGAUUCUCCAAGUUAGAGUUCAUUUUUAUUUUCUUACAAGUAGCAAAACUUCCUGUGUAGAUCAGUACAGCUUCUGUGCGAUCUUGUGUUACAAAUCUUGUAGUACUGUUUUUACAGGGAUCUUUCUAGUACUUUGUAAAGCAAGCGUGAUCCAUUUGUAAAAAUAUGGCAAAAGACAUCCUUCACUCUUGCAGUCUUUUGCUAAAAAAAAUGUUUUAAGUUCAAUGGAUGCCAUCGAGAAAGUUCAAACAUU